rnacentral:lncRNA from 1 species
GAAGUUCGUUAUGAAAUGGAGUGGUUGGUGUAUUGCAUAGUUGUAGCGAUUGGAUUUCACUAAAAACCCACCAAAUGGCUCCUCCCACCAUCUUAUGAUGUUCCUCAAGUUUUGGACACAGUCCGAUAUCGAUUGGUCCACCAAAUUGGAUAAUUCAGGUUAAUACGACGUUCUUUUUGAAAUGGAGUGGUUGGUGUAUUUUAUAGUUCUAGAGAUUGGAUUGCAC